GGAAUCUUCCACAAUGGACGCAAGUCUGAUGGAGCAACGCCGCGUGAGUGAAGAAGGGUUUCGGCUCGUAAAGCUCUGUUGUUAAAGAAGAACGUGGGUAAGAGUAACUGUUUACCCAGUGACGGUAUUUAACCAGAAAGCCACGGCUAACUACGUGCCA
rnacentral:rRNA from 1 species